rnacentral:rRNA from 1 species
GAUGAACGCUGGCGGCGUGCCUAAUACAUGCAAGUCGAGCGAACAGACGAGGAGCUUGCUCCUCUGACGUUAGCGGCGGACGGGUGAGUAACACGUGGAUAACCUACCUAUAAGACUGGGAUAACUUCGGGAAACCGGAGCUAAUACCGGAUAAUAUAUUGAACCGCAUGGUUCAAUAGUGAAAGACGGUUUUGCUGUCACUUAUAGAUGGAUCCGCGCCGCAUUAGCUAGUUGGUAAGGUAACGGCUUACCAAGGCAACGAUGCGUAGCCGACCUGAGAGGGUGAUCGGCCACACUGGAACUGAGACACGGUCCAGACUCCUACGGGAGGCAGCAGUAGGGAAUCUUCCGCAAUGGGCGAAAGCCUGACGGAGCAACGCCGCGUGAGUGAUGAAGGUCUUCGGAUCGUAAAACUCUGUUAUUAGGGAAGAACAAAUGUGUAAGUAACUAUGCACGUCUUGACGGUACCUAAUCGGAAAGCCACGACUAACUACGUG